rnacentral:sRNA from 1 species
UACCAUUCGUACAACGUAUUAGGGUGUGG